CUAAAGGUUUGCGGCUGUAAGUGCACUCACUGCGCCAAACACGGAUUCCAAAUAUGGUUGGGUACCGCCCACUUCCAGGUAGGUACUCGCUAGCAGUAACUGUGCCUGACUGUUCGCUGGUCUGGUAAAUUGCUUGGAGCUCAUUAAGGAUUGAUACGGCGAUUUAAGGAGAUAAUGACAGAAGAGCUUUUUCUAAGGAGCAAAGGGGAAACACACGGUCGUGGUGUAUUUGCAAAGGGUUCCAUUUCUCAAGGAGAUUUCGUUCUCGAAUACAGGGGAGAAUUCCUGUUGUUGAAGCCCAGAGAAGGAGGCUGAUAUACCACGAAUCAUGUACUGCAUUUCUUUUCAUGUUUAGGUGGAGAGGGAAAACAUGGUGGUAAGUAUUUAAGUUGCGCCUAAACUAUACUCUAUACUCUAUUUUAGGUGAGGCUCUGAUUUUGUGGAAUACAUUGUCUGUUAAAUAUGACUGACAAUGUAUUCCAGAAAGUUAAACUGAUUGAGCCAUGUGAUCCUGCAUUGUAACUAUAACAAUUAUUUUUCCAUGAACUUGUCAUGACAUUUAUGUUCCCCUUUCCUCAUGUUUCAUCUUUUUAGUAUCGAUGCCGCCAGAGAUGACUGUUCACUUGGGCGCCUCGUUAACGACGAACACAGGCGUCCAAACUGUAAAAUGAAAAAUAUUGAUGUCAAUGGAAGCCCACAUCUUUGUUUGUUUGCCCUUAUGGACAUAAAACAAGGAGAAGAAAUUUCAUACGAUUAUGGAGGUGAAGACUGCCCAUGGAGAACAGAAACGACCACAGUUGGACCAAAUGCACUGCUGGUAGAAGAUUUGCAUACUGUUGUCCUGGCAAAUACCGAAGUGGGUGAUGCUACUCAUCCAAACAUCGCUCAACAGAUGACCACAGUUGGAGACGAUGCCCUGCCAGAUGGAGGCUCGAAACCUGUCCUUUCAAAUACCGAAGGGGAUGAUGAUGCUACUCGUCCAAAAAUCACUAAACAGAUGACCACAGUUGGAGACGAUGCCCUGCUAGAUGGGGGCUCGAAACCUGUCCUUUCAAAUACCGAAGGGGAUGAUGAUGCUACUCGUCCAAAAAUCACUCAACAGAUGACCACAGUUGGAGACGAUGCCCUGCUAGAUGGGGGCUCGAAACCUGUCCUUUCAAAUACCGAAGGGGAUGAUGAUGCUACUCGUCCAAAAAUCACUAAACAGGUACAUUCAUGUUUAUCACUUCAAAUGUAAUUAUAGUCUCUCUCAUAGCCUUGCUUUUUCAGUUUUUGUGUUUUUAAAGCUAGCCAAAAUAGGAAAGGAAGUAUAUUUUGGUUGUGUUCUGGUUUAAAUGAAUACAGCCAAAAAGUUUGAUGCAAUGCAACUAUAAGAUGUAUGGUCGUGGGAUAUUUAAAAUAUAUUUUAACCUUCAGAGGGACUUUCUUUCUAGGUUAAUUAUCACUCUAUUCUGGACACUCACGACGUCCCCACAACACACCUUUUAGUCAGUGUUUGGCUAGAAGCUUUGGGUGAAACGUUGGAGACAACUGGUCCCCACGAGGAACAUUAACAUUGUGUUUGAAAUGUCCCCACAAAGCAUGUUAUUAAAGUGUGAUCUCAGAAAGAGCUGGGCUGGGCAGGAACAGAUAUUUGUGUUUUGAUAUCAAUGAUUGAU